AGAUUGAACGCUGGCGGCAGGCCUAACACAUGCAAGUCGAGCGGUAGAGAGGUGCUUGCACCUCUUGAGAGCGGCGGACGGGUGAGUAAUACCUAGGAAUCUGCCUGGUAGUGGGGGAUAACGUUCGGAAACGGACGCUAAUACCGCAUACGUCCUACGGGAGAAAGCAGGGGACCUUCGGGCCUUGCGCUAUCAGAUGAGCCUAGGUCGGAUUAGCUAGUUGGUGAGGUAAUGGCUCACCAAGGCUACGAUCCGUAACUGGUCUGAGAGGAUGAUCAGUCACACUGGAACUGAGACACGGUCCAGACUCCUACGGGAGGCAGCAGUGGGGAAUAUUGGACAAUGGGCGAAAGCCUGAUCCAGCCAUGCCGCGUGUGUGAAGAAGGUCUUCGGAUUGUAAAGCACUUUAAGUUGGGAGGAAGGGCAUUAACCUAAUACGUUAGUGUUUUGACGUUACCGACAGAAUAAGCACCGGCUAACUCUGUGCCAGCAGCCGCGGUAAUACAGAGGGUGCAAGCGUUAAUCGGAAUUACUGGGCGUAAAGCGCGCGUAGGUGGUUUGUUAAGUUGAAUGUGAAAUCCCCGGGCUCAACCUGGGAACUGCAUCCAAAACUGGCAAGCUAGAGUAUGGUAGAGGGUAGUGGAAUUUCCUGUGUAGCGGUGAAAUGCGUAGAUAUAGGAAGGAACACCAGUGGCGAAGGCGACUACCUGGACUGAUAC
rnacentral:rRNA from 1 species